AAUCGAAUUCUGGUUAUCAGCCAC
rnacentral:snRNA from 1 species